GACCCGACUUCACUCACUACUUGUGAAUUUUAUUUAUAUAUCUUUGCAUUUCUCUGUUGAGGGGACCCCAUGUAAUCCAAAUUUCAAGAGAGGGGAAAGCAUUUUUGCAAAAAAAAUCGUAUAUUAAUAACAGUUAAACUAAAUGCGUUGUUACUUCACGGGAUAUAUAUUUUGUUAGUUACUUGUCGGACGAAGUCACUUCAUGCAGUGUUGCAUCAUUUGUGAAGUCGGAAGGUACGAUUAAUUCCCAUUUUCUGAUAUAUGCGGUUGGCUCAUAUUACAUUCUAUGAUUACAUUAUAUUACUAUUAUUAUUACGCCAAAAUCCACAAAAACCAUAUUGUUUGCUGAUGAUGACAGCAUUGUAGUUAACUGAAGUUAUCUAAUGUAUUUAUGCAUUAUGUAAGCUAACUUAUUUAAUUCAUUCCCUCGAAACAUUUUCAAUGAAACAUUGAAAAUGUAUGAAGCAAAAAUUAACGCUUAUUUUGUUUUUGUUUUGAUUUUAGGGCGUCGAAAUCAUGGUCAUAAUAAAACAAAAUUUUGUAUUUUAGGUUAACUCUAUCUAGAAAGAUGCAGUUAUUCCCGGAACAUUUGAUAUCCACCGCAUUCCACCAAAAGGCGUUGCAUAUUGUAUGUCUCACUAAUUUAAACGGUAUUAAUAAUACAAACCAAUUUCUAAUAAGAAUGAAAUGUAUGAAGCAAAAAUUAACGCUUAUUUUGUUUUUGUUUUGAUUUUAGGGCGUCGAAAUCAUGGUCAUAAUAAAACAAAAUUUUGUAUUUUAGGUUAACUCUAUCUAGAAAGAUGCAGUUAUUCCCGGAACAUUUGAUAUCCACCGCAUUCCACCAAAAGGCGUUGCAUAUUGUUAUGUCUCACUAAUUUAAUCGGUAUUAAUAAUACAAAGCAAUUUCUAAUAAGAAAUAUAUUUAAAGUAUCAAAAUAUUACAUGCAUGUACCUACGUCUAUUAUUGUAUAUACAGUGUGUUCAAAAGAUCGUGUUAAGCAUGGGGAUCUCGGAAACGGUAAAAGAUACAGAUUCGGUUAAAUAGGAGAAAAUGUUUAGCACAAAAAUAUUGGU